rnacentral:tRNA from 2 species
GCCUCGGUGGCGUAAUCGGUAGCCGCGACGGACUCAAAAUCCGUUCUCGAAAGGGGUGUCGGUUCGAGUCCGACCCGAGGCACCA